AUCAAAGUUAAUAUGGGAUAUGUUGGGUCAUUUUAUGUGU
rnacentral:sRNA from 1 species